rnacentral:rRNA from 1 species
UACGUAGGGUGCAAGCGUUAAUCGGAAUUACUGGGCGUAAAGCGUGCGCAGGCGGUUUUGUAAGUCUGACGUGAAAUCCCCGGGCUCAACCUGGGAAUUGCGUUGGAGACUGCAAGGCUAGAAUCUGGCAGAGGGGGGUAGAAUUCCACGUGUAGCAGUGAAAUGCGUAGAUAUGCGGAGGAACACCGAUGGCGAAGGCAAUCCCCUGGGCCUGCACUGACGCUCAUGCACGAAAGCGUGGGGAGCAAACAGG